rnacentral:lncRNA from 1 species
AUGAUCACAUUGAAGAACUCUGGCCUCACGAAGACAAUGAAGAAAACAUUUCCUUCUCUCCUUGGUGCUUGCCUGCCUUCUUCACCAAUAUACCAGAGUUACGGCACGCACUGCUCUGUCCUUCACAAGGCAAUUAAAUAUGACGGCAUCGGCAGUCCUUGCACAAACUGUGGAACGCUUGCUCUGUUGUGUUGCAGAGUAAACAUCACCAUGUAAGUGUUCUUUCUUUUGUGAUUUGUUCUCCUACACACCCCUCAAUCACCCUGUAGAAAAUAAGCACUUUUUUAGCUCAAGGCUGAUGGACAAAAGGACGGAAAGGAGAAAGAUGCGACUUGAAUUCACACGUAUUGUGAUUCUCAAACUCUGAAAACUUUUAUUGUAUUGUAAAGGUCUAGAUGAAAGCAUGAAGUAAUGUUUAGCUGAAACUAUCAAAAUUAUAAGAUCUCCUAAAUUAGCUUGAAAACUCAUCAGGUCUGUAAAGACUCUGUUGUCUUUAUAGUGCAGUGGAUUGAGACUAGGUGAUUAUUCAUAACUUUGCCCAAAGGCCCUUGAGUAACAAUGAUAGGUAAAACCCAAGCAAAGUGACACAUUUGGAAGUUGCUGAGGUGAAUAUCAGCUGUGAGCAAAACCUUCCAAAGCCAUGAUUGAAUACCAGCAGUAGUCCCUCAGGACGCUGACUUUUUUUUCAGGCAGGAUAAGGUUUUAUAAAUGUGACCUCGGUACUAAAUAAAAGUCAUCCUAAUUAAAGAGAAUUUGCUAAC